UCCGGGGAUAACAGGCUGAUACCGCCCAAGAGUUCAUAUCGACGGCGGUGUUUGGCACCUCGAUGUCGGCUCAUCACAUCCUGGGGCUGAAGUAGGUCCCAAGGGUAUGGCUGUUCGCCAUUUAAAGUGGUACGCGAGCUGGGUUUAGAACGUCGUGAGACAGUUCGGUCCCUAUCUGCCGUGGGCGCUGGAGAACUGAGGGGGGCUGCUCCUAGUACGAGAGGACCGGAGUGGACGCAUCACUGGUGUUCGGGUUGUCAUGCCAAUGGCACUGCCCGGUAGCUAAAUGCGGAAGAGAUAAGUGCUGAAAGCAUCUAAGCACGAAACUUGCCCCGAGAUGAGUUCUCCCUGACCCUUUAAGGUCCUGAAGGAACGUUGAAGACGACGACGUUGAUAGGCCGGGUGUGUAAGCGCAGCGAUGCGUUGAGCUAACCGGUACUAAUGAACCGUGAGGCUUAACCUUACAACGCCGAAGGUGUUU
rnacentral:rRNA from 1 species